ACGGGUGAGUAAUACGUAGGAAUCUACCCUCAAGCGGGGGAUAACUAGUGGAAACGCUAGCUAAUACCGCAUAAUCUCGAGAGAGCAAAGAUGCCCGCAAGGGUGACACUUGAGGAGGAGCCUACGGCUGAUUAGCUAGUUGGUGGGGUAAAGGCCUACCAAGGCGAUGAUCAGUAACUGGUCUGAGAGGACGGCCAGUCACACUGGGACUGAGACACGGCCCAGACUCCUACGGGAGGCAGCAGUGGGGAAUCUUGGACAAUGGGGGCAACCCUGAUCCAGCGAUGCCGCGUGAGUGAAGAAGGCCCUCGGGUCGUAAAGCUCUUUAGGUUGGGAAGAAGGCUCUGAGGUGAAUAGCCUUGGAGUUUGACGGUACCAACAGAAUAAGCACCGGCAAAUUCUGUGCCAGCAGCCGCGGUAAUACAGAAGGUGCGAGCGUUAAUCGGAUUAACUGGGCGUAAAGGGCGCGUAGGCGGUAAGAUGUGUGUGAUGUGAAAACCCUGGGCUCAACCUAGGAAGUGCAUCGCAAACUAUCUAACUGGAGUAGAUGAGAGGGUGGCGGAAUUUCAGGUGUAGCGGUG
rnacentral:rRNA from 1 species